rnacentral:lncRNA from 1 species
UUGGAAUUCUAUAUGGCUAGAAUGUGACUCUUCCCUUGUGGUUGACAUUUCCAAUGGCAAAUCCAAAGUGCCUUGGAACCUUCAGGCUAGAUGGACCAUUUGUAAAAUUCACCUAUCUUCAAUGAACUUUAAGGUUUCCCACAUCUUCAGAGAAGGAAAUGCUUGCGCUGACAGUUUGGCUAUGUUUGAAAUCUCUUCCAAUACUUAUACUUGGUGGAAUUCAAUUCCUACUUUUAUUCAUAGUCAUUUCUAUAGAAAUUGGUUGGGUCUUCCCAACUAUAGGUUCUUAAAUUUGUAAUGGAUUUCCUGUUGUAUUUGGUCUCUCUUUAUUAAUCUACUUUUCGGUGAUUAGGCACUUUGUUUUAAAAAAUCAAUAACUAAUAUGAAUCUGGUUAGUGGGAAA